CUUCCGUAGGGGUAACCUGCGGAGGGAUCAUUACACACCGCUUUUCUUUGCUGCAACCGCCAGUUUUGGCGGGGAAGCUGAAUUAUUUUUCACCCAUGUCUUUUGCGCACUUGUUGUUUCCUGGGCGGGUUCGCCCGCCACCAGGACCACACCAUAAACCUUUUUUAUGCAGUUGCAAUCAGCGUCAGUAUAACAAAUGUAAAUCAUUUACAACUUUCAACAACGGAUCUCUUGGUUCUGGCAUCGAUGAAGAACGCAGCGAAAUGCGAUACGUAGUGUGAAUUGCAGAAUUCAGUGAAUCAUCGAAUCUUUGAACGCACAUUGCGCCCUUUGGUAUUCCAAAGGGCAUGCCUGUUCGAGCGUCAUUUGUACCCUCAAGCUUUGCUUGGUGUUGGGCGUUUUGUCUUUGGCUUUUGCCCAAAGACUCGCCUUAAAACGAUUGGCAGCCGGCCUACUGGUUUCGGAGCGCAGCACAUUUUUGCGCUUGCAACUAGCUAAAGAGGCCAGCAAUCCAUCAAGACCUUCUUCUCACUUUUGACCUCGGAUCAGGUAGGGAUACCCGCUGAACUUAAGCAUAUCAAUAAGGCGGGAGGAA
rnacentral:rRNA from 1 species